rnacentral:rRNA from 1 species
AGAGUUUGAUCUGGCUCAGAACGAACGCUGGCGGCAGGCCUAACACAUGCAAGUCGAGCGCCCCGCAAGGGGAGCGGCGGACGGGUGAGUAACACGUGGGAACAUGCCCUUCGGUACGGAACAACUCAGGGAAACUUGAGCUAAUACCGUAUACGCCAGUAAUGGGAAAGAUUUAUCGCCGAAGGAUUGGCCCGCGUCCG